rnacentral:rRNA from 1 species
CCUACGGGUGGCAGCAGUGAGGAAUAUUGGUCAAUGGACGGAAGUCUGAACCAGCCAUGCCGCGUGCAGGAAGACGGCUCUAUGAGUUGUAAACUGCUUUUGUACAAGGGUAAACCUGAAUAUGUGUAUUCAGCUGAACGUACUGUACGAAUAAGGAUCGGCUAACUCCGUGCCAGCAGCCGCGGUAAUACGGAGGAUCCAAGCGUUAUCCGGAUUUAUUGGGUUUAAAGGGUGCGUAGGCGGAUUGAUAAGUUAGAGGUGAAAUGUCCGAGCUUAACUCGGGAACUGCCUCUAAUACUGUUGAUCUAGAGAGUAGAUGCGGUAGGCGGAAUGUAUGGUGUAGCGGUGAAAUGCUUAGAGAUCAUACAGAACUCCGAUUGCGAAGGCAGCUUACUAAACUAUAACUGACACUGAAGCACGAAAGCGUGGGGAUCAAACAGGAUUAGAUACCCGGGUAGUC